rnacentral:misc_RNA from 1 species
AAGAAGCUGAUAAAGCCUAAGCAGGUAUGGAAAAUGGUCGUCCAAAACCCGCUCUUUACUUUCCAAAAUCGUUCUUGAUGAGAGGGUUGAUCAUUUAGUUGAAUAAUGACAGGUAUGAUUUUAGAGGGGUCGGAGGGUAGCUUUUUGUGCUGCCUAGAUAAGGAUUUUGAUGGAGUAGAUGCCUCCGACGGUUGCAGUGCCAUUUAGGGUAGGUAAUUCAGUAUGUGAAAACCCAACCGUAGAUACCCAUUUGGAUAUCACAAGACUUAAGUUAAUGGAAGACACGGCU